rnacentral:rRNA from 1 species
UACGGGAGGCAGCAGUGGGGAAUAUUGCACAAUGGGCGCAAGCCUGAUGCAGCCAUGCCGCGUGUAUGAAGAAGGCCUUCGGGUUGUAAAGUACUUUCAGUCGUGAGGAAGGUGUUAAGGUUAAUAACCUUAGCAAUUGACGUUAGCGACAGAAGAAGCACCGGCUAACUCCGUGCCAGCAGCCGCGGUAAUACGGAGGGUGCGAGCGUUAAUCGGAAUUACUGGGCGUAAAGGGCACGCAGGCGGUUAAUUAAGUUGGAUGUGAAAUCCCCGGGCUUAACCUGGGAAUGGCAUUCAAGACUGGCUAGCUAGAGUCUUGUAGAGGGGGUAGAAUUCCAUGUGUAGCGGUGAAAUGCGUAGAGAUGUGGAGGAAUACCGGGUGGCGAAGGCGGCCCCUGGGACAAAGACUGACGCUCAUGUGCGAAAGCGUGGGGAGCAAACAGGAUUAGAUACC